rnacentral:rRNA from 1 species
CGUGUAGGCGGUGCGGUAAGUUGGGCGUGAAAUCCCCGAGCUUAACUCGGGUGGGCCGUUCAAGACUGCCGUGCUAGGGUGCGGGAGAGGGAAGUGGAAUUUCCGGUGCAGCGGUGAAAUGCGUAGAUAUCGGGAGGAACACCUGCGGCGAAGGCGGCUUCCUGGACCGUAACCGACGCUGAGGCGCGAAAGCUAGGGGAGCAAACAGGAUUAGAUACCCUGGUAGUCCUAGCCCUAAACGAUGAGCACUGGGUGUGGCCCCUCACGAGGCCGUGCCGAAGCUAACGCAUUAAGUGCUCCGCCUGGGGAGUACGGUCGCAAGGCUGAA